GUGAACGCUGGCGGUAGGCCUAACACAUGCAAGUCGAACGGCAGCACAGUAAGAGCUUGCUCUUACGGGUGGCGAGUGGCGGACGGGUGAGGAAUACAUCGGAAUCUACUUUUUCGUGGGGGAUAACGUAGGGAAACUUACGCUAAUACCGCAUACGACCUACGGGUGAAAGCAGGGGAUCUUCGGACCUUGCGCGAUUGAAUGAGCCGAUGUCGGAUUAGCUAGUUGGCGGGGUAAAGGCCCACCAAGGCGACGAUCCGUGGCUGGUCUGAGAGGAUGAUCAGCCACACUGGAACUGAGACACGGUCCAGACUCCUACGGGAGGCAGCAGUGGGGAAUAUUGGACAAUGGGCGCAAGCCUGAUCCAGCCAUACCGCGUGGGUGAAGAAGGCCUUCGGGUUGUAAAGCCCUUUUGUUGGGAAAGAAAAGCAGCAGGUUAAUACCCCGCUGUUCUGACGGUACCCAAAGAAUAAGCACCGGCUAACUUCGUG
rnacentral:rRNA from 1 species